UGGAACAAACCUCUCACGAGGACGGAAAACAAAUAACAGUAUCGUUUCGUACCACUCUAUCCUAUAAAAGAGGAAAAAUCUUCCUUUUGGUGUUGGUAAGUCGACCACUGUACUAAUAAAAACCUUAUAUCUGGAAAAGAAGGUGUACACUAGGACAAUAAUAGACACGAAGCUACUAUACAAAUAUGAAUUGUUACCGUAAUGGCAGAUAAAAAAGAUCACAUGGUAAGUGUUAGUUCCGACGUUGAAGUCAACGUCUACCGUAUGGUACAGCAAAAGGUAGACGCGGUGUGAAUAACCAAUCAAAAUUAUAACGUAACACUAUCAGUGUAAGAAACUUACACACUGAACGGUAAGACUUACAAAAACGAUCAUAUAAUAGAGAUACGUCGUGUAAGAAUUCCCGGAGUUACUACGCUCAUAGGUAACUAAUUUCCUCGUUAUAUUGACCUUUUUAUUAAUAUACAUCAAUUCUCAGGACAAGCUUGGUUUGGAACUUGUGUAUUGAUAAUUGAGCUCCCUUUACAUUCAUGCCGCUUCCCUCAAGUAAUUAGACCGAAUGUUACUUAGAACGUUUAAUUAACGGAAAAACGUAUUCUACCAUUAUGGAUGACCUCCACCCCGUAAAUGAUCUUCCUCAGUUAACCUGUUAGUUCCACUCGCUGCCUCUAACCCUCGGUUGGAACUUGUGUUUUUACAAUAGUUUUCAUACUUCUACUAUGGAUAACCUCAACGACGAUAGCAACCCACCUCAGCUAACCUGUUAGUUCCUCUAGGUUGUCUCCACACCGUUACAGGUUCCCGCGGCUAUACUUCCACUUCGGCUAGACCUUCGUGAAUGUUCACUUGCCGCAACCUCUAACUCUAACAAAAAACUCCACACGCACUACAUUAACACGUUUCUUUUCCACACAAUGUACACACACCAGUAGCUUGGUUUUUAGUUCACAGAGGCUAGAUCGAACAACAAAUGUGCCCUCUUUAAUUAGUCGUUCUUCUAACGAUAGUUCGUACACGGUUUUGCC
rnacentral:rRNA from 1 species